rnacentral:rRNA from 1 species
UACGUAGGGUGCGAGCGUUGUCCGGAAUUAUUGGGCGUAAAGAGCUUGUAGGCGGUUUGUCGCGUCUGCUGUGAAAAUCCGGGGCUCAACCCCGGACUUGCAGUGGGUACGGGCAGACUGGAGUGUGGUAGGGGAGACUGGAAUUCCUGGUGUAGCGGUGGAAUGCGCAGAUAUCAGGAGGAACACCGAUGGCGAAGGCAGGUCUCUGGGCCACUACUGACGCUGAGAAGCGAAAGCGUGGGAGCGAACAGG